CCACUUCUUUCACUAUGCUACUAGAAUUCAUCAGAGUGCGGGAACAGACAUGCACUCAAACUUGUCGAUCAACAGGAUCUUCAUAGACUUCCAAGGGUAGGUCUGCCUAUGGUUCCUCAUUUUCUACCUCAUCUGGGGAGGGGGGAGGAAAAUGGAAAGAGUAAGUUCCAUAUGCUUAGUAAGAAAAAUAGUAUUAAAUUAACAUCGUAAGAUUUUAAAAAUUUAUUAUUUUAUCUUACCGAUUAGUUUUCUUAUUUACUUAACUCAUCAUUUGGAAAAACUAUUUAUUUGAAUAUCAAAAUAGUACGUUAGCACAGAAAAUCAAAUAUACAUGUAUCAUGCCAAGUAAUAGAGAAAAUCAAAUAAAUCAUGAAAUGAUCAAAUAUUUCGUGUCAUGCUUCGUGAAGUCAUUAUAAACUUCCAUCUCUAAGGGUAAAUACAGAUAAAGAUUUCCAACUGCCCAAGUGGAAUGACCAGAUCAGAUGCAGAUACGACAAUUUGCUCAAGCCCACUUUCGGCUGGUCAAACCAUAUGACCAUGACCGUACCAACCAUAGUGAUCCUAUCAGAUAGUCUAUAGUGACGACAUUACUUAGCAACGGGUGACUCUUACAGAUAGUGCGAUACCACUCUCGUUAGAGAGUACACCGUCAUCCACUAGGAGUAGUCCUCUUACGUCUUUCUAGAUCAAAUAUGGGAGGGGGAAAUAUAUACAUCAAAAGGCAAGGAGAACAGAUACUCCUCAGAGAUAAAAAGCCUAACGAGAUACUUGAUACAAUAUGUAUGUCAAUACAGAUACAUUUCGGACUAUACAGACUUCAUUCUACUUCUCUCUUUUUCUUUUUUCUUUACUUUACUUUUAUUAUUAUGAACUACAUAUUAUAUUUAUUACAUGCAAAUUCAUCAAGUGUUAGUAAAUCACACAGUAUACUUGAAAAUCAUAACAAUUCCACUCAUUUGAAUACAGAGGCACGUAAAAAAGAUAAAAUAACUAUCAUAUUAAAUUCGAUUAUUUAGAAAUACUCCUUAAGACGUCGAAAGUAAUACUAGAUUCCUUACCGAAACCUCGAUAUUUUUUCAUUCACUGUUUUUCUUUCUUUUUCUUCUUCUCUCACUAUUUUACUAUCUUUCUCUCUCUCUAAAUCUUUGAAAAAAAUGAAAAAAUAGAAGUAUAGAGAGAAAGGGAUGGGAAGGGCAAUUUAUAGAAUUUCAGAACCGUUGGAUUCGUACCAAGUAGAAAAAUCCGAUGAAGAGAGGAGGAAAAGAUUCUUGGCACGAAAAAUGAGGGAGAAAAAUUUCCUCCACCAACGGCGGCGGUUCGCCGCCCAAGGUAGUGACGGAGCUCUGCCUUAGGUGGCAGAGCCCGGUUGGUGUGCUGCAGGCUAUCCUGCAGGCGCACAGGCUUGCUGCUACAUGCGCGUGGCCUUGGUGUACUGAGCACCAUGCGCGCAGGCCUACUGCCCGCAUGCCCCAAGCGCACAGGGUCUAUCCGUGUACGAAGUGAUGGAGUGGACGUGCGCGCUUCACACACGUCUCAUGCGAGCUGGCAUGUGGAUGGGGCGUGUGUGCUGUGCGCAUGCUCCACGACCACUGUGCACACAUGCGCGCAAUCAUAGUGCCCAGCACCCGUGCUGUAAACCUGUUUUCCCACAGGAUUUUUUCCCUCGAUUCGGUUUUCUCCUAUUUCAUCAUUUUCUAUUUUUUUUCUAAUUUUUUCUUUUGAAAUAAAACAAAAUAAUGUAAAAUAAAUUAAAAUAAAAUUAAUAGUAAAAUUAAUAAAAUAAAUAAAAAUAAAAAUAUACGAAAAUCACGGAUCUCGAGAAUGGUGUAAAUCAAUUUAAAUUUAAGGCGGCUAAAGGGCCAGAUAAGUAGAGUUUUCAAAUUAUUUUAUCAUAGUGAUGGGCAGGGUGUUAUAUCCCUCCCACCUAAAAAAAAUUGGUCCCCAAAUUUGUCUCGAAUAAGUUUGGAUACUUUUUAUGCAUUUCAUCUUCUAACUCCCACGUUGCUUCUUCUAGGGUGUGAUGCUGUCAUCGUACCUUCACCAUAAGAAUUGUCUUGUUACGUAAAACCUUAUCAAUCUACCUGAGAAUUUCUACAGGAACUCAUAGGACAUAUCGGCUUGUACCUGUACCUCAUCACGAGGAAUAACAUGAGAAGGAUCAGGGUGAUGUAUGACAUUGCCAUCGUACCUUCACCAUAGGAAUCGUCUUGUUACGUAAAACCUUAUCAAUCCACCUGAGAAUUUCUACAGGAACCUCCUCAUAGGACAUAUCGGCUUGUACCUGUACCUCAUCAUGAGGAAUAAUAUGAGAAGGAUCAGGGUGAUACUUCUUGAACAUCGAGACAUGAAAGACAUCAUGUAAACCCAUAAAUUCCUGAGAUAGAGUGAGGCAGUAAACCACGAGUCCAAUGCACUCGAUGAUAGGAAAAACUCCCACAUAUCGAGGGCUUAACUUCUCUCUCUUCCCAAACCACAUCUUGCCUUUAUAAGGAUAGACUUUUAUGAAGACUUGAUCUCCUACGAAAAACUCCAAGGGUUGCCUAAGAUUAUCGGCAUAGCUCUUUUGACGGCUCUAGGCAGUUGCCAAAUUCUUGUAGAUGACUGUGACUUUCUCAAUGGUUUCCUAAAUGAGGUUUGGUCCUAAGUGGCGCUGGUUCCUGGCUUCACUCCAGCAAGUAGGGGAACAACAAGACCUUUCAUACAAAGCUUCAUACGGGGCUAUACUGAUACUGAAAUGGUAACUGUUAUUAUAAAUAAAUUCACAAAGAGGAAGAUGCUUAUACUAGUUAUCACCGAAGUUAAGAACGCAAAGACAUAACAUGUCUUUCAAUGUCUAGAUUGUAUGCGCAGAUUGACCAUCCGUUUGAGGAUAAUAAACGAUAUUGAAGUACAACCCAGACCCCAAGACUUCUUGGAAGCUGUCCCAAAAGUGAGAGAUGAACUGGGAGUCGCGAUCGAAUACAAUGGAUGAGGGAACUCCAUGGAGUCAAAUAAUCUCAUCCACAUAUAGGCAGGCUAACUUACUGGUGGAAUAUGUGGUUCGAAUAGGCAGGAAAUGGGUAGUCUUAGUCAGCCUAUCCACAAUGAUCUAAAUAGUAUUUCCUCCAGAACAAGUCCUGGGCAAUCCGGUGAUAAAGUCCAUAGUCACAUGCUCUCAUUUCUAUUCGGGAAUCGAAAGACCCUAUAACAAGUCACCGAGUCUCUAAUGUUCUGCCUUUAUCCAUUGAUAAGUAAGGCAUCGGGAGAUGUAGUCGACUAUAUCCUUUUUCAUUCCUAGCCACCAAUAUUGUUACUUCAAGUCCCGGUACAUCUUGGUACUCCAAAAUAGAUGCAUAACUUGGAAGCAUGGGCGGUCUUAAGUACAUUUGUGUGAAUUGCAUCAGGGACCCAAAUUCGGUUCUAGAAUUUAAACAAUCCAUCAUCAAAGAUCCUGAAAUCAGGAGAUCAUCAGAAGUGAACCUACCUAGGCUUUUGAUGAGUUCCGUGUCCGUGGCCUGUGGUUCCUAGAUUUUUAUAAAAAGAUUUGGAAGGGCUCGAAUCUUGGCGAGGUAGGUGACCUUGCCAUAAUAGCUAAGGUAGAGUGAUUGCACAGUGUCCAUUAUCUUCCAAAUAGAGGCCAUGGUAUGGGCUAGCACAGUAGGUUCUCGUCGACUUAGGGCAUCAGUGACUACAUUCCCUCUCCCGUGGUGAUAAAUGAUCUAACAAUCAUAAUCCUUCAGAAGAUCCAUCCAAUGUUUCUGUCUCAUGUUUAACUCCCAUUCUGAAAAGAUAUAUUUAAGACUCUUAUGGUUAGUGUAGAUUUCGAACGUCUGACCAUAUAGGUAAUGCCACCAUAACUUCAGGGUGAAGAUAAUGGCUACCAUCUCCAGGUCAUGGGUAGGGUAGUUCUGCUCAUGGACUUUGAGCUGUCGGGAUCCAAAGGCGACUAUUCUGUCAUGCUACAUUAGGACAAACUCCAAACCGAUAUGAGAUGUAUCACAGUAAACUUAGAAUCUUCCCUCAUUAUUCGGGAGGAUCAACACAGGGGCAGAGGUGAGACGAUAUUUUAGCUCCAUAAAACUUUCACUGCAUGCAUAAUCCCAAACGAAGGAUACACCCUUUCUGGUGAGUCGAGUCAUGGGGGCAGUAAUCCUGGCAAAUCCGUCAAUGAAUCGUUAGUAGUAGCCUGCCAAGCCAAGGAAACUACGUACCUUAGCCAUAUCAGUGGGUGAACUCUAGCUGGUCAUUGAUUCCAUUUUAGACAGGUCUACAAAAACUUUUUCACUUGAGAUUAUAUGACCAAGAAAAGAAACUCGAUCUAACCAAAAGGACACUUGCUUAGUUUCGCAUAUAGUUGGUUUUGGUGGAGGGUCUCCAGCACUUCAGUCAAAUGCACAAUAUCUUCCCCAUGGAUUUUAAAAUACACCAGAAUGUCAUCAAUAAAGAAAAUGACGUAUCAAUCCAGUGCAUGUAAAAAAACUCAGUUCAUUCGGGCCAUGAAAGCUACUGGGGUAUUGGUCAAUCCGAACGACAUCACCCUGAACUCGUACAAUCCCUAUCUACAUCGAAAGGCAGUUUGUAAAAUAUCUUCUUCCUCCACUCUCAAUUGGUGACACCUGGUUUUGAGAUUAAUCUUAGAGAAGACUGUAAUUCCCUGCAGUUGAUCGAAGAGAUCAUCGAUCCGGGGUAAGGGGUACUUGCUUUUGAUGGUCACUCGAUUGAGUUUUUUAUAGUCCAUAUAGAGUCGGAGGGUACCAUCCUUUUUCUUUAUGAAUAAUACUAGAACGCCCAAAGGAGAAUGGCUAAGGCGAAUGAAUUUCUAGGUGAUAAAACCAGAAAGUUGGUGUUCUAGUUCGGUUAAUUCAGUGCGACUCAUGCGAUACGCGGACUUUGAGAUUGGUUGGGUUCCGGGCAAUAAUUCAAUUAGGAACUCUACCUCAUGUGGGGGAGGUAGACCAGGGAGUUUAAUGGGAAAGACAUCAGGAAAAUUACAAACAAUGGGUAUGGAACACACAAUAGGAUCAGUGUCCAUAUUCCUGUUCAAUUGUUAGGAAAAUGAUAACAAUUUUUAUUUUGGGGAUUGCAAAGUUAUAAUUUUAUUUUCACAGUUUACUAUAGCUCUAUACUUUUCCAACCAAUCCAUUUUUAAUAUUACAUCAAAUCCUACAAAAUCUAAUAGUAUCAGGUUUACACAUACUUUUAUCCCUGAAGUCUUUUUCUUACAGUCCUUAUAUACGUAAUGAGCCUCUAGUAGUCUCUUAGAGGGAGUUUCCGCUAUUAGUAUUUUUCCUAAAGCUUCUGGUUUCAAUUAUAGGUUACCAACAAGUGCACAAAAAAUAAAAGAGUGAGUUGCACCAGUAUUGAUUAAAGAUUUGGUAGGAGUAUUAUGAAUAGAAAGCAUAGCCUGGAUGAUAAUAGGAGCAAAAAAGACUUCUGUUUCAUCUAUAUGGUACACUCAACCUUGUGCUAUGGGUCUGGCUACAUCUUUCGGUCAUUGAGAGCAGUCUUUUAUAAGGUGUUGGGUGCUUCCGCACCGAUAGCAGGCGUGAUUGAUAUGCCGACAAGGCAAGUCACCUUGCGAGCGACCACAAUGUUGAUAAGGUGGGUUAAUUCAGGCAGGUGGGGCUAUAGGUGGGGAUAAGGUAGGAGGAAGGGCAAUUCUAGUUCGUUUGUCUAGGGGGUUACUUACUGGGUCAAACAACCUCUUUCUAAGCUGUUGGGGCUGUUGUUGGGCUCGAAUUCGAGCAAAGCGUUAGUGCUUAAUUGAGAUAAGAUCUUUGGCCAACUGGGCAUAUUCGUGCACCUUUGCAUAGGAGCUAGGUCUUAGCAUCGUGACCUGGUCAUAAAUUUUGGCAUGAAGGCCCUUGAGAAACUUCCUAAUCUUAUGACUUUCAGGGGUGACCAUCAAAUAGGCAAACCUAGAUAGCUGAAUAAAUAGGACUGCACAUUGGGCUACAAAAAAGCUUCCUUGGUGGAGGUCCUAGAAUUCAUCCUCUUUCUUUUCUCGAACAUAAGUAGGAAAAAAGUUAUCAAAUAAAGCAUCCAUAAAAACUUCCCAAGUAAUAGGGUUAGGCAGGACUUCUUUCUUAAGUCGCCACGAGUGUUCAGCUUCAUCGUUUAACAUAAAGGCUGCAGGAGGGACCUUUUAUUCUUCAGUUAGGUCUAGUACAAAGAAGAUCUUUUCUAUUUGUAGGAUCCAGGCUUCGACUAGUAAAGGAUCAAGGCCAUCGUCAAAGUGUGGGGUGUUAAGUUUUCUAAACUCCGCUAUAUUAUGGGGGAUAGACUAAUCUGGGUUUCAGAAUUCAGGGCCAGGGGGUGGACAAGGGUUGGACUAGUUUUGUCCUACGGCUGCAGUUAAUCCUUGAGUAACUCGAAAAAGUUCUACAAAUUCAGCUUUGGUCGGAUGAUCAAGGGCUUCAGGUCAUUCAGUACACUCUAUAGAUGUUCUUCCUCGCGUCAUUCCUACAAAAGAAAGGAAGACACGAGUUGGAGGUUCAAUAUUUGAAAGGAGGUCAUUUAUCUUUCCUAAGUAUUCUAAAUGGUUUAUCUAUCCUAGACCUUAGUGUAAGGGAUUUGUUCUGCAAUAUUCUGCUUUGAUACCCCCUAUGACAUCUCAGGUACAAGUUAAGGCAAUUGGGUGUCAGAUACAGAUUUAGAAUAACGAGUGUAUGAUAAUAUUUAUGCAGCAGAAUCAAGACCUUAACAAAUAUCUUACAGAUACAUUUAUAUAGUUCUAAAUACAUACAUCAUUGAGGCCAGAAGUGGCUACAAAAUUCAAAACAUAAGGGCCACUUUUUUCACUAUGCAACUAGAAUUCAUCAGAGUGCAGGAACAAAUAUGCACUUAGACUUGUGGAUCCACAGGAUCCUCAUAGAUUUUCAAGGGUAAGUCUGCCUGUGGUUCCUCAUUUUCUUCAUCAUCUGGAAGAGAAUGGAAAGAGUGAGUUCCAUAUGCUCAGUAAGAAAAAUAUUAUUAAAUUAACAUCGUAAGAUUUUAAAAGUUUAUUAUUUUUUUUACCGAUUAGUUUCCUCGUUUACCUAACUCAUCAUUAGAAAAAAUAUUUAUUUGAAUAUCAAACUAGCACGUUAGCACAAAAAAUCAAAUAUACAUGUAUCAUGCCAAGUAAUAGAGAAAAUCAAAUAAAUCAUAAAAUGUUCAAAGAUUUCGUGUCAUACUUCGCGAAGUUGUUAUAAACUUUCAUCUCUGAAUGCAGAUACAGAUACAAAUUUUCAACUUCCCAAGCGGAAUGACCAGAUUAGAUACAAAUACAACAAUUUGCUCAGGCUCACUUUUGAUUAGCGAAACCAUGGUACGAUUUAUGACCACGGCCGUACCAACCAUAGUGGUCCUAUCAGAUAGUCUAUAGUCAUGACAUUACUUACCAACGAGUGACCCCUAUAGAUAGUGCGAUACCACUCUCAUUAGAGGGCAUGCUGUCAUCCACUGAAAGAGGUUCUCUUAUGUCUUUCCAGACUAGAUAGGGGAGGGAGAAAUAGAUACCCCAAAAGGCAAGGGGAACAGAUACUUCCAAAGAGAUAAAAAGCCUAACGAGAUACUUGAUGCAAUAUGCAUGUCAAUACAGAUAUAUUUCGGACCAUACAGGCUUCAUUUCACUUUUCACUUUUUCUAUUUCUUUAACUUUACUUUUAUUAUCAUGGACUACAUAUUACAUUUAUUACAUACAAAUUUAUCAAGUGUCAGUAAAUCACACAGCAUGCCUAAAAAUCAAAACAAUUCAACUCAUUUGAAUACAAAGACACGUCAAACAGGCAAAAUAAAUAUCAUAUUAAAUUUACUUAUCUAAAAAUACUUCUUAAGACGUCAAAAGUAAUACUAGAUUCCUUACCAAUAACUUGAUAUUUUUUUCUUCACCGUUUUCUUUUCUUUUUCUUCUUCUCUCACUAUUUUACUAUCUCUCUCUCUCUAAAUCUUUGAAAAAAAUGGAAGAAAUGGAAGUGUGGAGAGGAAGGGAAGGGAAAGGGCAAUUUAUAAAAUUUUAGAACUGUUGGAUUUGCCCCAAUUGGCGAAAUCUGGUGAAGAGAGAGGAGGAAAAGAUUCUUGGCAUGAAAAAUGAGGGAGGAAAAUUUCCUCCACUAGUGGCGGCAGCACAUUGCCCAAAGGCAGCAACGGAGCUCUGCCUGAGUGGUAGAGCCCAGUCGACGCGAUGCAGGCUGCAGCACAUAGGCCUGCUGCCGCGCANNNNNNNNNNNNNNNNNNNNNNNNNNNNNNNNNNNNNNNNNNNNNNNNNNNNNNNNNNNNNNNNNNNNNNNNNNNNNNNNNNNNNNNNNNNNNNNNNNNNNNNNNNNNNNNNNNNNNNNNNNNNNNNNNNNNNNNNNNNNNNNNNNNNNNNNNNNNNNNNNNNNNNNNNNNNNNNNNNNNNNNNNNNNNNNNNNNNNNNNNNNNNNNNNNNNNNNNNNNNNNNNNNNNNNNNNNNNNNNNNNNNNNNNNNNNNNNNNNNNNNNNNNNNNNNNNNNNNNNNNNNNNNNNNNNNNNNNNNNNNNNNNNNNNNNNNNNNNNNNNNNNNNNNNNNNNNNNNNNNNNNNNNNNNNNNNNNNNNNNNNNNNNNNNNNNNNNNNNNNNNNNNNNNNNNNNNNNNNNNNNNNNNNNNNNNNNNNNNNNNNNNNNNNNNNNNNNNNNNNNNNNNNNNNNNNNNNNNNNNNNNNNNNNNNNNNNNNNNNNNNNNNNNNNNNNNNNNNNNNNNNNNNNNNNNNNNNNNNNNNNNNNNNNNNNNNNNNNNNNNNNNNNNNNNNNNNNNNNNNNNNNNNNNNNNNNNNNNNNNNNNNNNNNNNNNNNNNNNNNNNNNNNNNNNNNNNNNNNNNNNNNNNNNNNNNNNNNNNNNNNNNNNNNNNNNNNNNNNNNNNNNUCUCGAGAAUGGCGUAAAUUAAUUUAAUUUAGGGUAGCUAAAGACCCAAAUAAAUAGGUUUUCAAAUUAUUUAAACACAGUGAUGGGUGUGGUAUUACAAGAUUGAUCUUGAUUGGAUUUUAAUAACACCUUUAAGUGUUUCUUUAAACUUAAAAAUAAAUGUCUAAGGCAAUAGUUCAGUUAACAAACCCAUACCCCAUUAUCUUUGUUGGAAAUGACAUGCAUAACUAGUUUCUGAAAAGUAGCAUGUUAUCUAACAAAGUGAAAACUUAAUUCUUUAUGCUUUAUAUAUCAUGGAACAUAAAAUUAUAGGACAAAUGUAUUGUGUUGUUAAUGGUAUCAUGUCAUACGAUGAGUGGUUCAAAAAAAUUAACUUUAAGUUCUUGAAGAAGAGUUUACAACCAAAUUAACUUAACACACAAUUACUAAUGGUUUUUCUAUAAAUUCUCAAAUUGAUCACUUUUAGUCUUGGUUAACACUAAAGUAACAAGUAUAGGUAUAACAUAGUUUUGACAUCAAACAUAUUUGUCAUGUGUAAUAGAUUAGUCAUGGAGAUACUACAUAUUGCUUUGGAUAUGUGACUAAUCACUUCAUAAGUUUAUUUUAAUUAAUUCAACUUUAAUUAUUUGGCUAUUUCUUAAUUAGUUACUCAUAAUUUUUAAAGUAAUUAUUUUUUUUGGAAUACACUCAGUCAAUUCGCAUAGCAAAGACUUAUUCAAGUUAUAUUGAGAAUUCAAAGCUCCCUAAGGUAGAUCUCAUGGAUGGCUCAUCACCUAGUAAGACAGAUACUGCUAAAAAAAAUUAUGAGGUGUGUUUGGAAUUUUUACUAUGUAAAAAUUAAUUAUUUAACUUUGGUUAUUAUAUAAAACUCAUUUUUACUAUUUAUCUACAACUAUUUUAUGAGAAUUCCGAUCAAUUAAAGGUAACUAAAGAUUUAACUUUCAUUUCCUAUGAGAAAAAAUUAAUUGAUGAAGGGUCUUAUAGUGAAAACAAUGAUAUUGUGACAUCCCAAAUGCUAAUUAAGGCAAAUGGGUGUUAGAUACAGAAAUCGGAUUACGAGUGCACGAUAAAAUUUUAUGUAGUGGAACAAAUUAAUUCAAAUCCCUUACAAAUAUAUAUGAGUUCCAAUUACAUACUAAUGACUGAGGCCAAAAGUGGCUACAAAAUACAAAGUCAAAAUACCAAAAAGGGUCACUUCUUUCACUAUGUUAUUGGAAUCAAUCAGAGUACGAGAACGAUCAUGCACUCAAGCCAGUGGUGGAAGUCACUGACUUUAUACUUUAUGAGAUCUACCCAAACAAGCCAACUCCCAAGCCAAGGAAGCAAAAAAUAGAAGAAGGGAGUAGUUCUGAAGUUCCAACUAGAGAAGGUAGAAGUUUUGCAGUGCCAACAGGAGAAGAAAAUACUCCAGUGAGGAAAAAGGUAGGCAGACCAAGGAAAAAUAAGGUGGAUGGGGAACAAGAGAGUACCCUAGAAUGAAGGAAGCUUGGCAUGCCAAGGAAACUAGUGGAUGGGGAUAAAAAGAUGACUUUUGUAGUUUGCUUUUGAGUAUAUAUAUAUAUUAAAAAUGUUGAAGUCAUCAUUAAUUUUCUAAUACUAAAAUAUUAGAAAUGCACCUAAUAGUUCCUCAAUGUGUAAGAUUUUGAUUAAAAUGUACUUAGUUUGCUUGUUAAUUUACAAAUAUCAACUAAGAAGGAAAACUAGAAGGGGGUGGCAAGAGAGAUGCCUUCUGUCAUUGAUUAAGUAGUUAAUGUUAUAAGAUUGAAAUUGAUAUUUUUAUUCUUUAAAUCUAAAUCUAGAACCAUUUGUACUUCUCUCUUAACUCAACAAAUUAUAACGCCUAAAACCACUAAGACUCAUAUUUUGGCAAUCAUGUAUUGUGUAGAUAUUGCUUUGGCUUAUGUUUAAGAUGUUAUAUAUAUGAGCAUCCGUUAAGUGUUUGUUUAGGAUGUAAUCUCGUAUUAACUAACAAUAAUAACCUAUAGUAAUCAUAUAAUUUUUGACUUGCUACUCUUGUAAUAUCAUAACAUUUUGGGUCUAAAUUUAAUAUGAUUUUAAAAUAAAUUAACUAUUAUAUAACCUAUCUUUUGUUAAUAUUAUUUUAUCUAUACAUUAUAUGCUCAUAUAAAUUCUUUAUAUGGUGAUCAUAUUAGGUAAGAAUCUAACAAUAAUAUUAAUAGCAUUGAUUCAAUUAUUGCAGUUACAACGAAUGAAAAGGCAACAACAUAAAUAGAGAAAAUAACUGUGAAGAUCAGAGACAAAUUGAUAUUAGAGAACUCGAAUCUAUCAACGAUUUAAUGUUAUGAGAAAAUAAUUUUUCCUUCUGCAAAUAAAGAUUUUGAUUCCCUAAUUAACCGAGUAGAUGGAGUUGUUAAGUCUACAAUAGAUAAUUUUGUGUUAAAACUGAUGUUGUGGGUUCCAUAAAUGAAAUUACUAGAUCCAUAGCUGAAAAAUUAGAGUCGUUAAUAAUUCAAGUGAAUUGAUUUGCUGGAGAAAGCUGUCCAGAUUUUGAGUCAAUAAUGAAGGAUGGUCUUCAUCUCCCAGACCACUAUUGAUUCUAAUCACCAUAUUUAUAUUUUUUUAAAUUUUUAUACAUUUUUAUUAUAUUAAACCCUUUAUCAUUAGAUAUCUCUUUCUAUUGCCAUUUUGACUUGUUAUUAAGAACUUCGUGUUGACUAAAAAUGUAACGCCCAAACAAUUGGGUUUUUUUGUAAUUUUCUUAUUAAUUUUAUUUAUUAAGUUAAAAAAAAAGAGCGCCACGUCAGCGGCCCAGUCAGCUGCCUUGGCCAACCAGGACCUGCCACGUGGCAAGACCACGUCGACCCGGGGACGGGCCAUGUUGGCGAUCCGCGUACGCGCGAUCGGACGACCCAGAUUAAGCGUGCGCACGGACGGCCCAGAUGCAAUCGCACGGACGGCCCAAAUUCAAUAAAAAACGGACGGCCCAGAUUAAAUCAAAAUGGAUGGCUGAGAUCAAAAGGCAAAAGGGUAUAAAUAGAACCCCCACACCUGACCACAAAAACCCUAGCCUCCUGCCCUCGCCGGAGAAGACGAACCAGACGCCGGAGGAGCUGGCCGCCGCCACCCGCCGCCGCAUCGGGGAGAUUUCUGACCGCCGAUCGAGGUAAAUUUCAUACCCACGACUCGUUUUUCCACGCUAAAUUCCCCUAUGGCCAAAUCAGAGCCAAAAUUUUGGCCAAACGGCCGGAAAGCACGGCCGAAACCCAGCGGCGCCGCCGCGCCCCUCCUCGGUUUUUGCCUCCGAUGAGGCCCUUCCCGGCCUCCGUUUGAUGCAAUUUUUAUAUCACCGUGAUCACCAUUCUUUUCUCUACAGGUUGAUCAGAGCCGAAUCACCAAAACACGAACCUCGCCGGAGAGCCGCCGCACCCGAGAGCACCACCGCCGGUAAGCUUCGGUUUUUCGUAAUUUUUUGGCCCCCCGAGGGCCCUAGGGUUGUUUUAUCGCAGGGACCGAUGCAAGUGUGGCCGAAAACGGCCAACCCGAGGUGAAUCGCCGCCGUGCCGGAAUUGCGAUAUUGGCCGAAAGGGGCCCUGGGCCUAAUUUGAGAUUUUUUUGGAACACGUGCAGGUACCAGUAGUGCGUUUCAGUUCCUCGAAAAAAAUUCAGAAAAAAUUAGAGACAGCCUGUAGGCGCACUGUGAAGCCGUGUUCGGACCCCGAAACGAGUAAGGACCCCUCACCCUAUUUCCUAUCACGGUAUUAAAGUUCAAUAAUGAUAAAACGGUAAUUCUUGAAUCAACGAAUGUGUGAAAUUGCUUAAGGUCACUAAUGGAGCCCGAGUCUAGUGUGUUUGUCGGUUAACUGUUAUUUAGCAUAUUUUAUAGUUUUAAAUGCAGUAUGAGGUCUGAUGUUUUCAUUUCAUUGUUUCGUGUGCAUAUUUUACUGUUUUAUUGAUUAUGGGUUGAAUGACUGAGAAACCGAUGCUGUAUGUUGUCUUGUUUGGCAUAAAUUACUUUUUUGCUUGUUUGCGUGUGAAUUAAUGAUGCUGACUGAGGAAAAGGAGAAUGAAAGGUUAUGUAAAUUGAUAAUUGUAUAAUGUGAUCAGCCUGACUAGAUAUCCUGGGAGAUGGUGGACGGACCGGGUCCGUAGGGGACCCUACCGGGAUUGUGGUCUCUCAUACCAGACGGGGUAUGAAGACCUUAUGUGUUUUGGCGCCCAUACCGGACGGGGUAUGGGGACGGCCCUGGAAUCUGAUUACAAGUGUUAAGGGUUCACGGGUAGCGGGACCCCUAUGGAUCCCCAUGGAUACUAGUAGGCUGGUAAAAGAGGAAAAAUAUGUUGUGAAAUGAUUGAAUUACAAAAGGCGUGAUAAGUAUUAUGUUAUACAAUUUAUAUGAUUUCAUGAUGAUAAUAAUGUUAUUGCUUUCGUAUAUUGUUUUAUGAAUUUCACCGAGGUAAGUGAAUGGUAAAGGUUUUAUUAUUGAUAAAAGGAUUUGUUGUGAAUUAUGCUCCAUUGGUCUUUUUGUGUUUUCUACCCACUUUUACCUCCGUGACGGUGAGAUAUCGUGAUGUCUUUACUGGGCUAGUGUAGCUCAUUCCUUAUUUAAUCAUUUCAGAUCAGGAAGACAUUGUUCCCGAGCCCGUCCCGCAGGAAGACGACGAAGGGGACGCCUAAAGACUCCAUAGUCAUAUUCAUAGCUUUUACUUUCGAGUUUCUCUUUUAGUUAAUUUGAUCUUUUAUAUUUUGAGCACGUUUUUGGUUUUAGUGUAAGGGAUGUUAAUCGAAAUUUUAACUUCGCUUCCGCAUUUGACAUUUUUAAUACACAUAUUUCAUUUUAAAUUUCCGGGGCCGUUACAAAAAAUAACAAUAAUCAUAUCUAAUAUACACAUUACAUAUAUAUAAUAUACUCAUCAUAAAACAUAUAUGAUGAUCAUUGUGAAUACAUGCAUAUGUAUUGUGCAAUUAAAAGAAAGGAUUUAAUAACUAAUGGUAUAUCCAACGUAUCAAAAUUUAUCAUUUUGUGUAAGUAUAAUAUUAUUUAUAUAUAAAAACUCAUCCAAAUUGCAUCCUUAUAAAAGAAAUUCAACCUAUAUUUACACACUUGAAAGAAAAAGUAAAAAAAAAUUAAUAAUUAUUGGUUAUAAAAUAAAGAUAAACGAGAGAAAUUAAUAUUAAGAAGUUAUUUUAAUUAAAUAGAAACAAAAAAGGGUAUUAAUAAUGAAUAAUAAGGUUCAUGCUCUUUAGUGUCUAAUUUUAGACAAGAUAGAUAUGCAAAAUCCGUAGAUUUCAAUUCAGUGUACUCGUUUUAUCUGCAAUAUUAUCACUGAGCAAUUAAAAAGUAUUUUGCCUUCAUUAGAAGGAAAAUACAUAAAUUUUAGAUAUAAACAAAACAUUUCUAUUGGUAAAAUAGGUAAGAUAUUUUUCUCUAUUAGUAUAAACCUUUUAUUUAUAUCUUGUGCUAACAAAAAAAAAUUAAAUAUUGUACAUAUGUCAUUAAUUCAAUUAUAAUUAUAAUUACUUAAGAAUUAAAAAUUAUCUAUAAAUAUAAAUUGUGACAUCUUGAUGUCAAGUGGGGCACCAACGUCUGAUAGAGCAGACAUAAAGAAAUAUAUGUACACAGUAGUAGAACUAUUCACCCAAUAAAACAUAUAGAAAGCUGUACAUUGAGGCAUUAAGUUAUCUAUACUUGUAUAGAAAUUAAAAGAGAUAACCUAUACAAAAUAUACUAGCCUAUAAAAAAUUUUAACAAAAUAUACAAGUCUGUUCCCAUUUAUNNNNNNNNNNNNNNNNNNNNNNNNNNNNNNNNNNNNNNNNNNNNNNNNNNNNNNNNNNNNNNNNNNNNNNNNNNNNNNNNNNNNNNNNNNNNNNNNNNNNNNNNNUUUAAAGAAAACAGUUAUAAAAGCAAUACUCAAUUGGCAUAAUAACAAUUUAACCAUCAAUGGCGCUCAUACCAUAUUCAAUGUGUUCACAUAAUUCAUUUACAUGCACCCAGGACUAGACACAUUUUCUAACUUAGUUUUAAUACCAAAUUAUUAACUCAAUUUUUAUUACACUCUUUAUAAACUUACACGCGCAGUUGCUUACACUACUUGCAUAGAGGGUGCAAGUCAUCAACUAGGUAAGGAUGGAAGUGCAAUCAUUUAGUAACAAUAAAGACGUAAAUAAAUAUAUAUAAAUCACUCAGUCCUUUUCGGUCAUCAUCACUCAAUUAUCACUUCAAUGCCAUCGUCCAAAUCAUAGAGCUCUAAGACAUGUAUGCAAUUGGUUCAUAGUCAUUGACCAUUGAACCUAGUUUUAUAAAUGGAAUCCAAUAUCACACUCAAAGUCUAGUGGCUUCUCUAUUAUCCUCUAUAUCCCUUCAAGAAAAUCAGUAUAUCGGAUUUAACUGGAUACUAUGUUAUUUGUAUUUUAGACUCUUUAAUAUUUUCUCUCUUAAAUUUAAUAUGUUAUUUCAUUCUAUUUGUUUUACUAAUAUGUAAAAUUAUUAUUAUAAUUUAAUUACUUGGAUUAUUUUUUAGCUUAUUUGUUCUACUUAAAUUAUUACUAUAGUUAACUAUACUAUUUUGAUUACUUAGACUUUUAAUUAUAUUCUUUUUAAUUAAUUUAAAUAUUUUAUUUUAUUCUUAUUUAAUUCUUUUCUAAAUUUAAAUUAACUUUUAUUAUUAUUAUUAUUAUUAUUAUUAUUUAAUGCUACCAACACAAAUUUUACCCAAAUUUCUAUCUCAUGUUACACUUAACCAUUUUCCAAUUUAACUUUUACAAAUUUCCAUUUAAUGAUACAUUAUUUUCCAAUUUUAUUAAUUAAUUUUUUUUCUUGAUUCUUCCCAAAGGCCCCAACCUCUCCAAAUGUUUAACCCAUGGGAAAGUCUCCAUGCUAGCCCAUGGCCUAGUGAGCUUCUGUGAUACAUCAAAAUGCCCCACAAUAUGUUCUCAUGUUUGUCGAGAAAACACGGCCCGUUCGUCUGUUGAACAAGGCAACAAGCCCAAGCGAACAUACCAUGUGCAGAGGCACACUAACGUGUCCCUAUUUUAGCAAAUGUAGGUGCCCGAAUACUCCUCAACUUUCUUUGGCUUGGCAUCUUCGAGUUGAAAAACUACUAGAGGAAGUUAUAAGUUAUACAUUUGUACCUAGAAUCCAUCUCUUUCACGUGCAGCAAAGAACAAACUGUGAAACAUGAUUUCAGGGGCAUUUUGAUGCCCGAAUGCUUAACAGAGGCUAAUGGCCUCUAUUUUCUGUCCCUCUUCUUCUCUUUUUUGCUUUUAAGACGUUCAUCAUCAUCCAUCACAAUCAAACAUAACAAAAACAUAUUUAAUACAAUUAAAACUAAUUACAUAAUUAUCAAGCACAAGACUCACCCUUUUUCCAUUUAAAAAUCCACUUCCUUUAUGCAUUUUUAAAGAACACAUCCCAUUAAAUGCAAUCUAGAAAUGCCAUCUUUAUAUGAACUAAACUAUUACCCAUCUUACCUCAAAGAAAUAGCAGCAACAAGCCAAAGAAUCAAAAGAAAAGGUUGGAUUGAAAGCUUGAAGAAUAGUUUUACGCAAUACGCCCAACUGUUGUGAAAAAUGAGAUUAAUUUCUAGUUUCCUGGAGUGUUUAGCUUUGUCUAAUUAAUUUCUAACAAAUCCCUAAUAUCUUAUUAUGAUUCUAGGUUACAUAAGGCUCACUAGAUUAACUAAAUGGAAGAGAAAAACAGAAGGACAGUAGCAUACCUACUCGGUCUGCAACUUCUAGAAAUAUUGCUGAAAAAUGGCUUCGGUUGAAGCCUUCUACACAAUCUGGAGUCCUAAGGUUGUUAAGAAACAUGUUUAAGUGUGAAGGAAGAGUGGAAGAAUACAAUUCAGGGAGAAAAGAAGCUUACCUUAAAUAGAAACCAAGUUUUGGACUCCUAAUCUCACUCGCACACUCAAACGUUCUGUUUUUCCAAAUGUCUUCACCAUAGAAGCUUUUAAUUUCUCUCAACUCACAGUUUUCUUGUUGGUUUGUUUGCUUGUAGAAGAAAUGAAGGAAGAAGUUGUGCUGUAGAAGAAGACUUGAGGGAAAAGUCCAGCUGAUCGAAGCCUUCCAUUCACAUGCAAUUGCUCCUAACCAUAGAUGUAAGGACAUGGCCGACAGCUUGCUGUAGAGUGGAGUUGGAGCUGCAACAUUGGGCCCGCCAGAACCUGUCCCAACCAGUUAGUUGAGGCAUUAACAGCAUUCGGUGUAGUGGCGUCACAUCAGACUAGGCCAAAGUGGCCAUUUACGGGUUAUCUUUGUUCCCCCCCCGUGGUUUAUAUGUAAAUAUAUAUAUACACC
rnacentral:lncRNA from 1 species